GAAAAGGAGAUCAAUCCAGAUACGACUAUUUAUGAAACAAGAAUAAUUUGAAUUGCAGCAGUCAAUGGAAUAUAUAUAGCAGACAAAGUCUCAGAAAUAGGACUAACACUGACCAAACAAAUCUUCUGCUGUUAUUAUCGUAUAACUGUUUGCCCAAUGUAAGCACAGGCAUUCACAAUUAACUGGUCAAGAUCGAGACACCAAUUGAAAAAAGGAUAACACAAAUAUAGCUUAUGCAUCAACUCAAGUCCGGAUAAUGACAACUUUUUGCCCAAUGUAAGCACAGGCAUUCACAAUUAACUGGUCAAGAUCGAAACACCAAUUGAAAAAAGGAUAAUACAAAUAUAGCUUAUGCGUCAACUCAAGUCCGGAUAAUGACGCAUAAGCCAUAUGACUUAUAAGUAUUGCUGCUCUUCCCCUAUCGAUCAAUGUAAUAUGUCAAUUGUUUUCAUAUUUUUGGAAGAAACAAUAAGCCAACAAGCAUAGAUAUUCGAGACUUCAUUAAAAUUGCAAAUGUGA
rnacentral:lncRNA from 1 species